GCUGUUAUAGCUCAGCAGGCAGAGCACUUCCUUGGUAAGGAAGAGGUCGACAGUUCGAAUCUGUUUAACAGCUCCA
rnacentral:tRNA from 1 species